rnacentral:rRNA from 1 species
AGCAUAUCAAUAAGCGGAGGAAAAGAAACCAACAGGGAUUGCCUCAGUAACUGCGAGUGAAGCGGCAAAAGCUCAAAUUUGAAAUCUGUGCCCUUCGGGGCUCCGAGUUGUAAUUUUGAGAUGCGUUUUCGACCGACGGGCCCUCCUUAAGUUCCUUGGAACAGGACGUCACAGAGGGUGAGAAUCCCGUGAACGGAGGGCCCCGAGGCAUAUGAUACGUAUUCUACGAGUCGAGUUGUUUGGGAAUGCAGCUCAAAAUGGGUGGUAAAUUUCAUCUAAAGCUAAAUAUUGGGGAGAGACCGAUAGCGCACAAGUAGAGUGAUCGAAAGAUGAAAAGCACUUUGAAAAGAGAGUUAAAAAGUACGUGAAAUUGUUGAAAGGGAAGCGCUUGGGACCAGAUUCAAACCUUGCCGAUCAGCUUCAGUUCUCUGUUGCGCACACGGCGAUUUUUGGGACAGCAUCGGUUCUGGCGGAGGGACAAAGCCUUGGGAAAUGUGGCACCCCUCGGGGUGUGUUAUAGUCCCUUGGGUAAUGCCUCCAGCCGGGACCGAGGACCGCGCUCCGGCUAGGAUGCUGUCAUAAUGGUCUUCAGCGACCCGUCUUGAAACACGGACCAAGGAGUCUAACAUCUAUGCGAGUGUUCGGGUGGAAAACCCUUGCGCGUAAUGAAAGUGAACGGAGGUGGGAAUCGCAAGAUGCACCAUCGACCGAUCCUGAAGUCUUCCGAAGGAUUUGAGUAUGAGCAUAGCUGUUGGGACCCGAAAGAUGGUGAACUAUGCCUGAAUAGGGUGAAGCCAGGGGAAACUCUGGUGGAGGCUCGCAGCGGUUCUGACGUGCAAAUCGAUCGUCAAAUUUGGGUAUAGGGGCGAAAGACUAAUCGAACCAUCUAGUAGCUGG